AUUGAACGCUGGCGGCAGGCCUAAUACAUGCAAGUCGAACGGUAACAUAAAAGAAGCUUGCUUCUUUUGAUGACGAGUGGCGGACGGGUGAGUAAUAUUUGGGAAACUACCUGAUAGAGGGGGACAACAGUUGGAAACGACUGCUAAUACCGCAUAAAGCCUAAGGGUGAAAGCAGCAAUGCACUAUCAGAUGUGCCCAAACGGGAUUAGCUAGUAGGUGAGGUAAAGGCUCACCUAGGCGACGAUCUCUAGCUGGUCUGAGAGGAUGAACGGCCACAUUGGGACUGAGACACGGCCCAGACUCCUACGGGAGGCAGCAGUGGGGAAUCUUCCGCAAUGGACGAAAGUCUGACGGAGCAACGCCGCGUGAAC
rnacentral:rRNA from 1 species